rnacentral:rRNA from 1 species
GACAUGAGAUCAGGCCAGCAAACCCGCUGAAUUUAAGCAUAUAAGUAAGCGGAGGACAGAAAACUAAACAGGAUUCCUUCAGUAAUGGCGAAUGAACAGGGAAUAGCUCAGCGUGAGAAUUGAGGCUUCCACGCCUUGACGUGUUGUCUGGAGAUGGACAUCCAACAUAGGUGCAGAUGAAAGUCUCUUGGAAGAGAGUGCCUGAGAGGGUGAGAGUCCCGUGUGACAUCUGUGUCCCUGUGUGUUCGGGUGUCUUUGCUGAGAGUCAUGUUUCUCGGGAUUGAAGCGUAAAAUUGGUGGUAAAUUCCAUCUAAAGCUAAAUAUUUACUCGAGACCGAUAGAAGACAAGUACCAUGAGGGAAAGAUGAAAAGGACUUUGGAAAGAGAGCUAACAGUGCCUGAACUUGCUGAAAGGAAAGCGAAUGGAACCAGCUAGAUGUGCAAGAUUGCAGUGUAAGAAACACUCUUUGUAAUGCCCUUAGCGCAAGCGGGGGUGCUACAGAGGUGUUGUUUCUUGCUCUGUGCUGCUUGCUGGCAGUGUCAUUCUCAGUGCUUCUGUAGGACAUCUGCUGUGAUGCUUGAACUUCAUUUGUGAAUGGAACGAAGCUCACCGUGGAGUCUACUGAGGUGCUGCUUUUUUGUGUUCCUUGCUCAGUUGAAACCUUCUGGUGAGAACCUUUUACGGGUCCUUUAUCAGGAGGCAGAUGCUUGCCUGAACACAAUCCUGAGUGGCAACGUGGUUCUAUUCUACCCGUCUUGAAACACGGACCAAGGAGUCUAACACGUGUGCAAGUUUCAAACUAACAAUGUUCUGUUGCGAAAUGAAAAUGAUUGCUGUGAUUGCAUUCAGCAGCUUCCAACCAAUUGCUUGUGAGAGGUUUGAGUGUGAGCACACUUGUUAGGACCCGAAAGAUGGUGAACUAUGCCUGAGAAGGGCAAGCUCAGGGGAAACUCUGAUGGAGGCUCGCAGCGUUACUGACGUGCAAAUCGUUCGUCAUACUUGGGUAUAGGGGCGAAAGACUAAUCGAACCAUCUAGUAGCUGGUUCCCUCCGAAGUUUCCCUCAGGAUAGCUGGAGCUAUAGAGUUUUAUCAAGUAAAGCGAAUGAUUAGAGGACUCGGGGGCGUGCUGUCCUCGACCUAUUCUCAAACUUUAAAUGGGUAAGAUCCAGUGGUUUCUUCUCUGAACUUCUGGGAUAAAUGUAAGCUCUAAGUGGGCCAUUUUUGGUAAGCAGAAUUGGCGAUGAGGGAUGAACCUAACGCUGUGUUAAGGUGCUGAACUGCUCGCUCAUCAGAUGCCACAAAGGGUGUUGGUUCAUUUUGACAGCAGGACGGUGGUCAUGGAAGUCGAAAUCCGCUAAGGAGUGUGUAACAACUCACCUGCCGAAUGAACUAGCCCCGAAAAUGGAUGGCGCUCAAGCGUGUGACCGAUACAUUGCCAUUCUUGCAACAAGGUGCAACAAUGAGUAGGAGGGCAUGGAUGUUGCGGAGAAGGAUUUGUUGUGAAUCAACCUGGAGCAGCAUCCAGUGCAGAUCUUGGUGGUAGUAGCAAACAUUCAAAUGACAACUUUGAAGACUGAAGAGGAGAAGGGCUCCAUGUGAACAGCAAUUGGACAUGGGUUAGUCGGUCCUAAGAGAUAGGUAUGCUCCGUUCAGAGAAGCUUUGCUUUGAUUCUUGAAAGGGAAUGGGGUUAAUAUUCCCCAACAUGGACAUGGAUAUUGUAUGGCAACAUAAGGGAUUUCGGUGACGCAGUUGGGAACCCUGGGCAGCGUUGUCUUUUCUUUUUAACUGUCUGUUGCCC